AGGCAUUCAUCCUAAGACAACAUGCAGCCUUGGCUGAAAACUGCAGAGUGUGGUUUCAAGGCACGCUCCUGUCUAGCCCGGGCGCUGCGGUGACCAUACAAGUAGUGAACUUGGAGCAUCACCAAAGGCAGUGAAACAAAAACAGAGGAACUGAGAGACGCCUGCCUCAGCUGGGGUGCGAGGUGCUGUGUGGAUAAAGAGGGGCCUGGGAGACAGACACCUGUGACAGCAGUUGGGACCCAAGGCAGAGACCACUGAAAAGGGGCCUUGCACGCUACGGACCAUAUGUGAGGGUUGCUUUCCUAAACGCAGGAAUAAACAGCCGUAAGAUGAAAUAUUCCUAAGUAAUGAGAUUAGUGACAUGAACGUAGCAUGGGAUACAGCUUUCAAAAAUAAUUACAUCUGACACCGUCAUCAGCAAGAUGUAGGGGCUGCAAGCUCUGAGCUUGGGAACAGCAUAUGAAAGAUUGGCUUCUCCUGGGAAGGGAGGCACA